GACGAACGCUGGCGGCGUGCUUAACACAUGCCAGUCGAACGGAAAGGCCCUGCUGGCAGGGUGCUCGAGUGGAGAACGGGUGUGUAACGCGUGGGUGAUCUGCCCCUUACUUUGGGAUAAGCCUGGGAAACUGGGUCUAAUACUGGAGAGGACCAUGCUGUAGGGGGUGUGGUGGAGAGAUUAGUUUCGGUAAGGGAUGAGCUCGCGGCCUGUCAGCUUGUUGGUGGGGUGCUGGCCUACCAAGGCGUGGACGGGUGGACGGCGUGUGAGGGGGGACUGCGACAUAGUGACUGAGAGACGGCGCAGAGUCCUACGGGGGGCAGCAGUGGGGAGUAUUGUACAAUGGGGGCGAGAGUGAUGUAGCGACGCCGCGUGGGGGAUGAGGGCGCUCUCGUUGUAAACACCUUUCUGCCAUGAGGAAGCGCGUGUGGUGACGGUAGUUGUAGAAGAAGCACCGGCUAACUACGUG
rnacentral:rRNA from 1 species